UUUGAACUCAGAAUUAAAAUUGC
rnacentral:piRNA from 1 species